AGUGAACGCUGGCGGCGUGCCUAAUACAUGCAAGUCGAACGAUGAAGUCCUAGCUUGCUAGGAUGGAUUAGUGGCGCACGGGUGAGUAAUAUAUAGUUAAUCUGCCCUACACAGAGGUACAACAGUUGGAAACGACUGCUAAUACCUCAUACUCCUAUUUGACAUAAGUUAAAUAGGGAAAGUCUUUUCGGUGUAGGAUGAGACUAUAUCGUAUCAGCUAGUUGGUAAGGUAAUGGCUUACCAAGGCUAUGACGCGUAACUGGUCUGAGAGGAUGAUCAGUCACAUUGGAACUGAGACACGGUCCAAACUCCUACGGGAGGCAGCAGUAAGGAAUAUUGCGCAAUGGGGGAAACCCUGACGCAGCAACGCCGCGUGGAGGAUGACACUUUUCGGAGCGUAAACUCCUUUUAUCAGGAAAGAAUAAUGACGGUACCUGAUGAAUAAGCACCGGCUAACUCCGUG
rnacentral:rRNA from 1 species